UCCUUUAUCUUAUUCUUAGUGUAGCCACUUAAUUUGGGCAGAAGCUUAUGAGAUUUAACGAAAAUUCUUGCAUUUGAUUAUUGUGGUAAAACUUGGUUUGGUUUGCUAUUACUGAGUUUGCGUGUAAGGGCAGCAGCAGGUCGUUUCUCUUAUUUCAAAACGUGGUAAAGCUCUAAACUUGUUGUCUUAAGCAUGAUGUUCGAACAAAGGCAGAGGGUGUGCUUGUGAUAUAUUGAUUGUGAUUCUUAAGUUGUGGUGCCUCUAUAUGAUGACAUGAAAAACUUGAUUGGGAGAAAGGGGGUGGAGGUGUUUACCUCUCGGUAUCACGGCUGCUUCGAGAAAAUCUGCCUUUGGUCUCGGUUUUCCCCCCUCUCAAGCUUGCUACUGCUUGUUCUUGGUUUUCACUAGAGUUUGCUGAAUUUUGCGAUGUGUAGGAGGGUGUUCAAAGGUGGUGUGGGGGGCUUUUUAUAGGCUGAAAUCUUGAGGCACUAUGGGGGAUUAAUUGGGGUUGUUACACUAUUUUGUUCCCAUCUUACAGAGAAUCCCCUUUGACUAUGAUUCUGCAGUAGGAUAUACUUGAGAGAUGGCUUUAUUUGAGUACUUAGUACAUGGAUAUUAAUUGAUACUUGUUUGUUGUGGCUGGUGAGAAACAGGUGCUGCAUUGGCGUGACAGAUUGCAGGCUGGACUGCCCUUUUUGGGUAAGUCUUUGGUCCUCCAAAGCAAAAGAAAGGUGAGAGUGAAAUCUCGGCUACUACCUGGCUGCAUCGCGAGCGGGCCUGGAUUUGAUGUCUGGGCCGACGGGCUGCCCGAAACGGGCCCUAAAUUGGGCCUGGAGAAAAGGCCCGAAAUGCACUCCACAUUUUGUAUUUUCCUUUCCUUGUUUUCUUUCUUUGAGGACUUUGAUCCAUGUAAACUAUUUUAUUAGUUGUUCAUUUUAUUAGACACGAAAAUACCAUUCGAAACACUUUAUUUUUCCGAA